UCCCUGGUGGCUUAGAUGGUAAAGCGUCUGCCUACAAUGUGGGAUACCCGGGUUUGAUCCCCCGGUCAGGAAG
rfam:TPA: Bos taurus chromosome 25, whole genome shotgun sequence.